rnacentral:tRNA from 1 species
GGACAGGUGGCCGAGCGGCUGAAGGCACCGGUUUGCUAAACCGGCGUAGUCCUCUAGGGCUACCGCGGGUUCGAAUCCCGCCCUGUCCG